rnacentral:lncRNA from 10 species
CUGGAGCCCAGGAAGUCUGGUUUCGAAUUUCAUGCUUCUAACCUGAGCACUGUACUGCUUGGUGGAGUUCUCUGCUAGUCCUACCUUUCAGGCAGAGGUGAUGCAGCAAGAAAGCUGCCACCAGAUGCAGCCCCUUGAUCUCGGACUGCCCAGCCUCUAGAACUAUAUGAUUUCCACGGACUUUACUCACAGGGGCUUCAGUAGAAGAGGAAGAGGCUUGGGUUUAAUUGAAGGUGGCCUGAGACAUCUGUGAGGAACAGCCCUUUUAGAGACAUAUCCCCUACAAAUAAAGCAUCAGAAUUAUUAUCCUAAUA